rnacentral:snRNA from 1 species
AGCUUUGCGCAGUGGCAGUAUUUAGCCAAUGAGGUUUCUCUGAGGCGCAAUUAUUGCUAACUGAAAACUUUUCCCAAUACCCUGCCAUGACGACUUGCAAUGUAGUCAGCACUGACAAUUUUUGACAGUCUCUAUGGAGA